rnacentral:rRNA from 1 species
UACGGAGGGUGCAAACGUUGUUCGGAAUUAUUGGGCGUAAAGAGCAUGUAGGCGGUCUGUCAAGUCUGAUGUGAAAGCCCGGGGCUCAACCCCGGAAGUGCAUUGGAAACUGGCAGACUUGAGUACGGGAGAGGAAAGUGGAAUUUCGAGUGUAGGGGUGAAAUCCGUAGAUAUUCGAAGGAACACCAGUGGCGAAGGCGGCUUUCUGGACCGAUACUGACGCUGAGAUGCGAAAGCGUGGGGAGCAAACAGGAUUAGAUACCCCCGUA